rnacentral:rRNA from 1 species
ACCUGUUCCCAUUCCGAACACAGCAGUUAAGCCCUUCAGCGCCGAUGGUACUUGGCUGGAGACGGCCCGGGAGAGUAGGUCGCUGCCGGAU